UCAGUCAUUGAACAUCUGUUACUUGUAACAGAGAUAACUUGGACCUGCAUCCCUCCCCCAUCUGGUAGGGGAGGCAAGAAAUACCCAGAAAUAACUCAAAAGAGGGUAGAAAGUACACAGUGUAGUCAGAAAGCAAAGAGGUUAACCAUAACCUUUACACCACUACCACCCCAGGCCCUGGCCACUGCCAAAGCACUUUACAUUUGCUUACUCAAACGGCGAGGUCUCCAGCAGUAUUCUUAUUUCUCAAGCCAGGAACCUGAGGAUCUUCCGGAAAAAAUAUCUCCCAGUGGGAAGUGGCUAGGCCAGGGCUCCACCCUGCAUCUGCUGGUGAGAAACACACCUCCGUAUUACCAGGCAGAAGAAAGCCUGAAACCAGCCAAAAAGAAAAUAAAAUCCCUGGUGAGAGUGGCUGGGCCUCUUUUGCCUUCCCUCAGGCCUGCACGUGAUGGGAGUGGUGGCAGAGGAGAGGCUGGGGCGGCCAUGGGAGCAUGGAGGUCAGUCACCCUGGCCACAGCCAAAGGCAGGGGGAUCCCCGAGCCUGGGAGGUCUGAUAUCAUCGGCUGGCUGCCGCGUUUGCUUCCCAGGAGGGAGGAGCGCAGAUACUGACAGUGACAGAACCCUCUAUCUUGCUGGGAUUCUUUCCCUCCAGCCUUGAGCUCUGGAAGUGAGAGGCUGCUCACCGGCGCUCAGUGGUCUUGGAGCCUAAAAGUUCUCAAACAAGGACUUCACACAGCCCCUGGCAUUCUCUUCUCGACUUAUUUAGAACGGAACCAAAAAAGAAAAUUUUUAAAAUCUAUUUCAGAGUUUGUACUUCUGUGCCCAGCGUGACAGCGAUUCACUUCUGGUAAGUUGAUGAGAGCACAUGGGACUGCCCUCAUUUGGUUUGUCCCACACUGGUAAGGACAUUGGCAACCUUUAGGCUCAUAGAGCUUCAUUUUACUGGUGGAAAUGAAACGAUAAAGAUUUGUUUUGCCAGGAUCAUUUGCUGCUGGAUAUCGUUUUCAUAAACUAAGAAAUUAGCUUCUUAAAGAAUUGAAUACAUUGGAACUGUAAUUUGUCAUUAGGAAAAUGACACGGAGCGUUGACAGGAAGUACAAUAAUGUUCAUUGUCUCAUACUAAUGCAGAAGGAUCAGAGGUCCGAUUGAAUCCUAGAAGGACCCACAGAACCUACAGAGCAGCCAGGUGAUGAUACAGAACUCAAGAGAGUGACAUUUCCUGGUGAUCUCGGGAAGUGAAGCGGUGGGGCAAUGAAUCAUCAGCCCCACCCUGCCACUCAGGAACGAGGAGGAGCUCGCAGCAGUCAACACAAAGGGCCCUUUGCUAGAGGAUAAACUGUGCCAUUAUUAUCUUUUGUGAGCACACAUGCAAUAGUUCCUUAGCAGUGAGCACCACAGUAAAUACGCAAGGAGUGAUGUUCCACUUCGUGCAUUAUUUCCUCCUUCCCAUUACUGCAUUGAGAAUGUGUUGUUAAAAUUUCUAGUCCACCAAACUGGAUUAUAAUUUUUUUAAAAAAGGAAAACAAUGAGAAUGAAUGUGGUAGUAGCACAAAUGAUGGCUUGUGGUGAUCAAAAGAUGACAACCUCAGACAUCACUCUACUACUGUUAUGCCCGAUAAAAUUGAUUUUAUGGUUCUGUUUGUGUUCACACUGAAGAUUUAUUUUAGUUUUAUGAUUGCUUGAUAAGCUAAGAGCAUGAGAAACUCAUGUGUAAUUUUAGAUUUAGACUUUCAGUAAAAACAAAAUAAAAAUAAUGUGAGCCAACACUUUUGAGUCUGUUACCAUUUUCUUUUUCCUUUCGAACGGAAGCAUUUGGUUCUCGCAGUCAAACUAGCAGUUCCACUGACUGAAUUUCUGAGCUGUAAC
rnacentral:lncRNA from 1 species